GGGUUGUGAGGUUAAGCGACUAAGCGUACACGGUGGAUGCCCUGGCAGUCAGAGGCGAUGAAGGACGUGCUAAUCUGCGAUAAGCGUCGGUAAGGUGAUAUGAACCGUUAUAACCGGCGAUUUCCGAAUGGGGAAACCCAGUGUGUUUCGACACACUAUCAUUAACUGAAUCCAUAGGUUAAUGAGGCGAACCGGGGGAACUGAAACAUCUAAGUACCCCGAGGAAAAGAAAUCAACCGAGAUUCCCCCAGUAGCGGCGAGCGAACGGGGAGCAGCCCAGAGCCUGAAUCAGUGUGUGUGUUAGUGGAAGCGUCUGGAAAGGCGCGCGAUACAGGGUGACAGCCCCGUACACAAAAAUGCACAUGCUGUGAGCUCGAUGAGUAGGGCGGGACACGUGGUAUCCUGUCUGAAUAUGGGGGACCAUCCUCCAAGGCUAAAUACUCCUGACUGACCGAUAGUGAACCAGUACCGUGAGGGAAAGGCGAAAAGAACCCCGGCGAGGGGAGUGAAAAAGAACCUGAAACCGUGUACGUACAAGCAGUGGGAGCACGCUUAGGCGUGUGACUGCGUACCUUUUGUAUAAUGGGUCAGCGACUUAUAUUCUGUAGCAAGGUUAACCGAAUAGGGGAGCCGAAGGGAAACCGAGUCUUAACUGGGCGUUAAGUUGCAGGGUAUAGACCCGAAACCCGGUGAUCUAGCCAUGGGCAGGUUGAAGGUUGGGUAACACUAACUGGAGGACCGAACCGACUAAUGUUGAAAAAUUAGCGGAUGACUUGUGGCUGGGGGUGAAAGGCCAAUCAAACCGGGAGAUAGCUGGUUCUCCCCGAAAGCUAUUUAGGUAGCGCCUCGUGAAUUCAUCUCCGGGGGUAGAGCACUGUUUCGGCAAGGGGGUCAUCCCGACUUACCAACCCGAUGCAAACUGCGAAUACCGGAGAAUGUUAUCACGGGAGACACACGGCGGGUGCUAACGUCCGUCGUGAAGAGGGAAACAACCCAGACCGCCAGCUAAGGUCCCAAAGUCAUGGUUAAGUGGGAAACGAUGUGGGAAGGCCCAGACAGCCAGGAUGUUGGCUUAGAAGCAGCCAUCAUUUAAAGAAAGCGUAAUAGCUCACUGGUCGAGUCGGCCUGCGCGGAAGAUGUAACGGGGCUAAACCAUGCACCGAAGCUGCGGCAGCGACGCUUAUGCGUUGUUGGGUAGGGGAGCGUUCUGUAAGCCUGUGAAGGUGUGCUGUGAGGCAUGCUGGAGGUAUCAGAAGUGCGAAUGCUGACAUAAGUAACGAUAAAGCGGGUGAAAAGCCCGCUCGCCGGAAGACCAAGGGUUCCUGUCCAACGUUAAUCGGGGCAGGGUGAGUCGACCCCUAAGGCGAGGCCGAAAGGCGUAGUCGAUGGGAAACAGGUUAAUAUUCCUGUACUUGGUGUUACUGCGAAGGGGGACGGAGAAGGCUAUGUUGGCCGGGCGACGGUUGUCCCGGUUUAAGCGUGUAGGCUGGUUUUCCAGGCAAAUCCGGAAAAUCAAGGCUGAGGCGUGAUGACGAGGCACUACGGUGCUGAAGCAACAAAUGCCCUGCUUCCAGGAAAAGCCUCUAAGCAUCAGGUAACAUCAAAUCGUACCCCAAACCGACACAGGUGGUCAGGUAGAGAAUACCAAGGCGCUUGAGAGAACUCGGGUGAAGGAACUAGGCAAAAUGGUGCCGUAACUUCGGGAGAAGGCACGCUGAUAUGUAGGUGAAGUCCCUCGCGGAUGGAGCUGAAAUCAGUCGAAGAUACCAGCUGGCUGCAACUGUUUAUUAAAAACACAGCACUGUGCAAACACGAAAGUGGACGUAUACGGUGUGACGCCUGCCCGGUGCCGGAAGGUUAAUUGAUGGGGUUAGCCGCAAGGCGAAGCUCUUGAUCGAAGCCCCGGUAAACGGCGGCCGUAACUAUAACGGUCCUAAGGUAGCGAAAUUCCUUGUCGGGUAAGUUCCGACCUGCACGAAUGGCGUAAUGAUGGCCAGGCUGUCUCCACCCGAGACUCAGUGAAAUUGAACUCGCUGUGAAGAUGCAGUGUACCCGCGGCAAGACGGAAAGACCCCGUGAACCUUUACUAUAGCUUGACACUGAACAUUGAGCCUUGAUGUGUAGGAUAGGUGGGAGGCUUAGAAGUGUGGACGCCAGUCUGCAUGGAGCCGACCUUGAAAUACCACCCUUUAAUGUUUGAUGUUCUAACGUUGACCCGUAAUCCGGGUUGCGGACAGUGUCUGGUGGGUAGUUUGACUGGGGCGGUCUCCUCCUAAAGAGUAACGGAGGAGCACGAAGGUUGGCUAAUCCUGGUCGGACAUCAGGAGGUUAGUGCAAUGGCAUAAGCCAGCUUGACUGCGAGCGUGACGGCGCGAGCAGGUGCGAAAGCAGGUCAUAGUGAUCCGGUGGUUCUGAAUGGAAGGGCCAUCGCUCAACGGAUAAAAGGUACUCCGGGGAUAACAGGCUGAUACCGCCCAAGAGUUCAUAUCGACGGCGGUGUUUGGCACCUCGAUGUCGGCUCAUCACAUCCUGGGGCUGAAGUAGGUCCCAAGGGUAUGGCUGUUCGCCAUUUAAAGUGGUACGCGAGCUGGGUUUAGAACGUCGUGAGACAGUUCGGUCCCUAUCUGCCGUGGGCGCUGGAGAACUGAGGAGGGCUGCUCCUAGUACGAGAGGACCGGAGUGGACGCAUCACUGGUGUUCGGGUUGUCAUGCCAAUGGCACUGCCCGGUAGCUAAAUGCGGAAGAGAUAAGUGCUGAAAGCAUCUAAGCACGAAACUUGCCCCGAGAUGAGUUCUCCCUGACUCCUUGAGAGUCCUGAAGGAACGUUGAAGACGACGACGUUGAUAGGCCGGGUGUGUAAGCGCAGCGAUGCGUUGAGCUAACCGGUACUAAUGAACCGUGAGGCUUAACCUUACAACGCCGAAGGUGUUU
rnacentral:rRNA from 1 species